GAUGAACGCUGGCGGCGUGCCUAAUACAUGCAAGUCGAGCGAACGGACGAGAAGCUUGCUUCUCUGAUGUUAGCGGCGGACGGGUGAGUAACACGUGGAUAACCUACCUAUAAGACUGGGAUAACUUCGGGAAACCGGAGCUAAUACCGGAUAAUAUUUUGAACCGCAUGGUUCAAAAGUGAAAGACGGUCUUGCUGUCACUUAUAGAUGGAUCCGCGCUGCAUUAGCUAGUUGGUAAGGUAACGGCUUACCAAGGCAACGAUGCAUAGCCGACCUGAGAGGGUGAUCGGCCACACUGGAACUGAGACACGGUCCAGACUCCUACGGGAGGCAGCAGUAGGGAAUCUUCCGCAAUGGGCGAAAGCCUGACGGAGCAACGCCGCGUGAGUGAUGAAGGUCUUCGGAUCGUAAAACUCUGUUAUUAGGGAAGAACAUAUGUGUAAGUAACUGUGCACAUCUUGACGGUACCUAAUCAGAAAGCCACGGCUAACUACGUGCCAGCAGCCGCGGUAAUACGUAUGUGGCAAGCGUUAUCCGGAAUUAUUGGGCGUAAAGCGCGCGUAGGCGGUUUUUUAAGUCUGAUGUGAAAGCCCACGGCUCAACCGUGGAGGGUCAUUGGAAACUGGAAAACUUGAGUGCAGAAGAGGAAAGUGGAAUUCCAUGUGUAGCGGUGAAAUGCGCAGAGAUAUGGAGGAACACCAGUGGCGAAGGCGACUUUCUGGUCUGUAACUGACGCUGAUGUGCGAAAGCGUGGGGAUCAAACAGGAUUAGAUACCCUGGUAGUCCACGCCGUAAACGAUGAGUGCUAAGUGUUAGGGGGUUUCCGCCCCUUAGUGCUGCAGCUAACGCAUUAAGCACUCCGCCUGGGGAGUACGACCGCAAGGUUGAAACUCAAAGGAAUUGACGGGGACCCGCACAAGCGGUGGAGCAUGUGGUUUAAUUUGAAGCAACGCGAAGAACCUUACCAAAUCUUGACAUCCUUUGACAACUCUAGAGAUAGAGCCUUCCCCUUCGGGGGACAAAGUGACAGGUGGUGCAUGGUUGUCGUCAGCUCGUGUCGUGAGAUGUUGGGUUAAGUCCCGCAACGAGCGCAACCCUUAAGCUUAGUUGCCAUCAUUAAGUUGGGCACUCUAAGUUGACUGCCGGUGACAAACCGGAGGAAGGUGGGGAUGACGUCAAAUCAUCAUGCCCCUUAUGAUUUGGGCUACACACAUGCUACAAUGGACAAUACAAAGGGCAGCGAAACCGCGAGGUCAAGCAAAUCCCAUAAAGUUGUUCUCAGUUCGGAUUGUAGUCUGCAACUCGACUACAUGAAGCUGGAAUCGCUAGUAAUCGUAGAUCAGCAUGCUACGGUGAAUACGUUCCCGGGUCU
rnacentral:rRNA from 1 species